rnacentral:rRNA from 1 species
CUACGGGGCGCAGCAGUGGGGAAUAUUGGGCAAUGGGCGAAAGCCUGACCCAGCAACGCCGCGUGAAGGAAGAAGGUUUUCGGAUCGUAAACUUCUAUCCCAGGUGAAGAUAAUGACGGUAGCCUGGAAGGAAGCCCCGGCUAACUACGUGCCAGCAGCCGCGGUAAUACGUAGGGGGCAAGUGUUGUCCGGAAUGAUUGGGCGUAAAGGGCGCGUAGGCGGCCUUCUAAGUCCGAUGUGAAAGUCCUGCUUUUAAGGUGGGAAUUGCAUUGGAAACUGGAGGGCUUGAGUGCAGGAGAGGUAAGUGGAAUUCCCGGUGUAGCGGUGAAAUGCGUAGAGAUCGGGAGGAACACCAGUGGCGAAGGCGACUUACUGGACUGUAACUGACGCUGAGGCGCGAAAGUGUGGGGAGCAAACAGGAUUAGAUACCCCCGUAGUC